rnacentral:rRNA from 1 species
CUGCUGCCUUCCGUAGGAGUUUGGGCCGUGUCUCAGUCCCAAUGUGGCCGGUCGCCCUCUCAGGUCGGCUACUGAUCGUCGCCUUGGUGGGCCGUCACCCCGCCAACUAGCUAAUCAGACGCGGGCCCAUCCCAUACCACCGGAGUUUUUACCGCUGUGCCAUGCGGCACCGCGGUCUUAUGCGGUAUUAGCAGUCAUUUCUAACUGUUAUCCCCCCGUAUGGGGCAGGUUGCCCACGCGUUACUCACCCGUCCGCCG